rnacentral:rRNA from 1 species
AUUGAACGCUGGCGGCAGGCCUAACACAUGCAAGUCGAGCGGUAACACAGGGAGCUUGCUCCUGGGUGACGAGCGGCGGACGGGUGAGUAAUGUCUGGGAAACUGCCUGAUGGAGGGGGAUAACUACUGGAAACGGUGGCUAAUACCGCAUAACGUCGCAAGACCAAAGAGGGGGACCUUCGGGCCUCUUGCCAUCAGAUGUGCCCAGAUGGGAUUAGCUAGUAGGUGGGGUAACGGCUCACCUAGGCGACGAUCCCUAGCUGGUCUGAGAGGAUGACCAGCCACACUGGAACUGAUACACGGUCCAGACUCCUACGGGAGGCAGCAGUGGGGAAUAUUGCACAAUGGGCGCAAGCCUGAUGCAGCCAUGCCGCGUGUAUGAAGAAGGCCUUCGGGUUGUAAAGUACUUUCAGCGGGGAGGAAGGUGUUGAGGUUAAUAACCUCAGCAAUUGACGUUACCCGCAGAAGAAGCACCGGCUAACUCCGUGCCAGCCGCCGCGGUAA